UCAGAACGAACGUUGGCGGCGUGGAUUAGGCAUGCAAGUCGAACGAGAAAGCACUCUUCGGAGUGUGAGUACAGUGGCGAACUGGUGAGUAACAGGUGGGUAAUGUGCCUCUCAGCGGGGGAUAACACCCGGAAACGGAUGCUAAUACCGCAUACGGCCGCAAUCCUUCGGGAUUGUUGGUUAAAGAUGCUUCUUGCAAGUGUCACUGAGAGAUCAGCCCGCCCCCGAUUAGCUUGUUGGUGGGGUAACGGCCUACCAAGGCAGUAAUCGGUAGCUGGUCUAAGAGGAUGGUCAGCCACACUGGGACUGAGAUACGGCCCAGACUCCUACGGGGGGCAGCAGUCUAGGAGCUUCUACAAUGGACGAAAGUCUGAUAGAGCGACGCCGCGUGUGGGAAGACGGCCUUACGGUUGUAAACCACUGUCAGCAGGGAAGAAUGCCUGAAUGGUGAAUUCGGGAGAGACGGUACCUGCAGAGGAAGCCCCGGCUAACUCCGUGCCAGCAGCCGCGGUAAUACGGAGGGGGCAAACGUUGUUCGGAAUCACUGGGCUUAAAGGGUGCGUAGGCGGUUCGGUAAGUCUGAUGUGAAAUCUCCUCGCUCAACGGGGAACCCGCAUUGGAAACUGCUGAACUCGAGAGUGGGAGAGGCAGGUGGAAUUCCUGGUGUAGCGGUGGAAUGCGCAGAUAUCAGGAAGAACACUCGUGGCGAAGGCGGCCUGCUGGACCAUUUCUGACGCUGAGGCACGAAAGCCAGGGGAGCGAACGGGAUUAGAUACCCCGGUAGUCCUGGCCGUAAACUGUGAACACUAGGUGUCGGGGGCAUCGACCCCUUCGGUGCCGACGCAAACGCAUUAAGUGUUCCGCCUGGGGAGUACGGUCGCAAGACUGAAACUCAAAGGAAUUGACGGGGGCCCGCACAAGCGGUGGAGGAUGUGGUUUAAUUCGACGCAACGCGAAGAACCUUACCUGGGCUUAAACCGCAGGGUAAACCCCUCGAAAGAGGGGCUGCUUCGGCGAUCCUGUAGAGGUGCUGCAUGGCUGUCGUCAGCUCGUGUCGUGAGAUGUUGGGUUAAGUCCCGCAACGAGCGCAACCCUUGUCUCUAGUUACCAGCGGUUCGGCCGGGGACUCUAUAGAGACUGCCGUCGUAAGGCGGAGGAAGGUGGGGACGACGUCAAGUCCGCAUGGCCCUUAUGUCCAGGGCUACACACGUCCUACAAUGGCCGGUACAGUGAGUUGCGACACCGCGAGGUGAAGCUAAUCUCUUAAAGCCGGUCCCAGUUCGGAUUGUAGUCUGCAACUCGACUGCAUGAAGUCGGAAUCGCUAGUAAUCGCGGAUCAGCAUGCCGCGGUGAUACGUUCCCGGGCCUUGUACACACCGCCCGUCACAUCACGGAAGUCGGCUGUACCAGAAGUCGCUGAGCUAACCGCAAGGAGGCAGGCGCCGAAGGUAUGGCCGGUAACUGGGAUGAAGUCG
rnacentral:rRNA from 1 species